GCGGUUCAGUUGAUGUUUCGAUGCGUCUUUUGCGGCGAAGACUACGUGAGCAAGGAAGGACUGUGGAAUCAUCUGGACCUGCAUAAGUUUAAACAAGAAAUCGUAGACUAGCGUUCGAGUGAGCAGCUAGUUGCUAACAUGAAUGAUGACGGUACGGAUAGGCAUACGAUCGACGAGGAAUCCAGACUGCUUUCUGAUGAUACUGGGAAUGAUAGUACACACCUCACCUCAAAACAGCAAUAUUGGUGCGACAUAUGUGAAUCUACUUUUCCUAAUUAUGCCCAAGCCAAAUAUCAUAGGUUGACGAGGCACACAGAAGGGAAGCACAAGUGUCCCCAUUGUUUCAAAAAAUGGCACCGGAAAGAAGACUUUAAAAUACAUAUGACAGUUUGCGCAGACCGAAAAAUUUCCUGUGAAUUGUGUGGCAAAAAGUUCAAACGCCUAUAUGGUGUCAAACGACACAAGAUACGAGUCCAUCAUGUUAACGGACCUUUGAAAAAAGUGAAUAAUGAAGAUUGCAUUGAGGAGCAAAAGCAAAAGCAAAACAGCGUUGAGAAGAUAGAUUCUGAAAAAUCGUCAAUAGAUUGCAAUGGAGAAAAUUCAGCUUUGAUUAAAGUGAAGGAUUCCUUUAUGCAUGAUGCGGUUAAGGUAACACAGAAUAAUUUGCAACCACACGUUGAUAAUCCUUCUAGUGGAUCAUACAACACAAAAUGUUCCUACUGUGAGAAAUGUUAUUCUAAUGAAGGUUUCCUACGUCGUCAUAUCGAACAAUGCCAUGUACCAUUCCCAUGUAAUAUCUGUGGAAUAACCUUUGAUAAUGGUUUUAAACUACGGUAUCAUAAUAUUACGAAGCACAUGGAUCCGAAGCACAGAUGCCCUCAUUGCCCGCAGACAUUUGAAAAAACCUCACGGUAUGAGGUACACUUACCCAUGUGCAAGGGUAGGAAGUUUUCCUGUAAUCUAUGUGACAAAAAAUUCAAAGCCCUUCGAUUUGUUGUCAAGCAUAAAAAAGUAAUUCAUCACGAUAAGGAA